GACGAACGCUGGCGGCGUGCCUAACACAUGCAAGUCGAGCGAAUGAAGUUCCUUCGGGAAUGGAUUUAGCGGCGGACGGGUGAGUAACACGUGGGCAACCUGCCUCAUAGAGGGGAAUAGCCUUCCGAAAGGGAGAUUAAUACCGCAUAAGAUUGUAGUACCGCGUGAUACAGCAAUUAAAGGAGCAAUCCGCUAUGAGAUGGGCCCGCGGCGCAUUAGCUAGUUGGUGAGGUAACGGCUCACCAAGGCGACGAUGCGUAGCCGACCUGAGAGGGUGAUCGGCCACAUUGGGACUGAGACACGGCCCAGACUCCUACGGGAGGCAGCAGUGGGGAAUAUUGCACAAUGGGGGGAACCCUGAUGCAGCAACGCCGCGUGAGUGAUGACGGCCUUCGGGUUGUAAAGCUCUGUCUUCAGGGACGAUAAUGACGGUACCUGAGGAGGAAGCCACGGCUAACUACGUGCCAGCCGCCGCCGUAAUAC
rnacentral:rRNA from 1 species